CACAUGUUACAUGGGUGGACAGUAAAUAACAGAGCACAUGUUACAUGGGAGUACAGUAAUUAACAGAGCACAUGUUACAUGGGUGGACAGUAAAUAACAGAGCACAUGUUACAUGGGAGUACAGUAAAUAACAGAGCACAUGUUACAUGGGAGUACAGUAAUUAACAGAGCACAUGUUACAUGGGAGUACAGUAAAUAACAGAGCACAUGUUACUACAUGGGAGUACAGUAAUUAACAGAGCACAUGCUAUAUGGGUGGACAGUAAAUAACAGAGCACAUGUUACAUGGGUGGACAGUAAUUAACAGAGCACAUGUUACAUGGGUGGACAGUAAAUAACAGAGCACAUGUUACAUGGGUGGACAGUAAAUAACAGAGCACAUGUUACAUGGGUGGACAGUAAUUAACAGAGCACAUGUUACAUGGGAGUACAGUAAAUAACAGAGCACAUGUUACAUGGAAGUACAGUAAUUAACAGAGCACAUGUUACAUGGGAGUACAGUAAUUAACAGAGCACAUGUUACAUGGGAGUACAGUAAAUAACAGAGCACAUGUUACAUGGGAGUACAGUAAAUAACAGAGCACAUGUUACAUGGGAGUACAGUAAAUAACAGAGCACAUGUUACAUGGGUGGACAGUAAUGAACAGAGCACAUGUUACAUGGGUGGACAGUAAUCAACAGAGCACAUGUUACAUGGGUGGACAGUAAUUAACAGAGCACAUGUUACAUGGGAGUACAGUAAUAAACAGAGCACAUGUUACAUGGGAGUACAGUAAAUAACAGAGCACAUGUUACAUGGGUGGACAGUAAAUAACAGAGCACAUGUUACAUAGAAGUACAGUAAUUAACAGAGCACAUGUUACAUGGGAGUACAGUAAUAAACAGAGCACAUGUUACAUGGGAGUACAGUAAUUAACAGAGCACAUGUUACAUGGGAGUACAGUAAAUAACAGAGCACAUGUUACAUGGGAGUACAGUAAAUUAACAGAGCACAUGUUACAUGGGAGUACAGUAAUUAACAGAGCACAUGUUACAUGGGAGUACAGUAAUUAACAGAGCACCGUUGUGUUUCUGGUAGGAGGAGUAGUGCUCCCUUUUGGGCUGGGACUCUUGAUGGUGAGUGUUACAGUCUCACCAGCCCACAGGCAUCUCUGGACAGACUGUUCACAGUUCCUGAAUGCGUGUGCAAGAUUACACACUCAAAAACACAAACGCACACACAAAUGGCUAGCUAAUUUUCCUCCCAACAAAGGGACACCCCCUAAAUCCACUGAAAUGUCAAACAUGCUAAUUGCUAACCCGUUAGCUAACAUUAUUACAACACCAAUAAUCACAAGACAUUGAUGGCUUGAUCACAAGAUAACACUGUUGAAGGUAAUAUAUUUCUUAAAUAAUACGGGUUGAUAUGCUAGCAUGUUUCACCAGGAAGGGUGCUGUUGAAGUGGGUAACCCACAGCACAAUAUCAGGUGCAGUGAGAUUGGAUUAAAACGUCCUGUAUUAGUGACAUACUUGGUAUUUUAUCACUUCAUCAACAGCUUCCAAAGCCCUUUUUUUAACAUACUAUACUUUCCACUUUCCAAUGUCAUUUUUCAAACCAAAGCAACAAGGCUUCAAGUUUCUCAAAAGUAUUAUUGAACGUCGCAGACACACUCAUAACCCAGUGACUGCACAGACAUUCUCUGUUAUUUGUUUACGGGCGACCACAUCCGUCUGGUGGAAGCAGAGACCUUCGGGCUGGUCCCCCCCACCACACACAC
rnacentral:lncRNA from 1 species